CUUCAGAGCAUUGGGGUUAUAGUUGUGCACCACCAUGUCCAGGAAAUACGUGCAAUGCCAAGAAAAGUAUAAAGAAUGUAAGUCCAGGCACUGCGGCCCUGCUGCCAUGAACUAAGCAGGAUGGACAUCUGAAUCUAGGAUCUCCAGCAUCUGGAAUACGCCAGGCACAUGACCUUUGUAGCAAAUCAGUGCUGGGGAUCAACCCAGGAGCCUUCCCCAUGCUAGGCAAGUACUCUAUCACAGAGUCACAUCCGCAGUGUCUAGGUCAGACUUUUAGACUCGUAAACCCAAGUGACUACUGUACAUCUAUCCAUAUGUAGCCAUCCCAGAAGUACAUACAGGGAGCAGGCCAAGUCGUUAUGACUACUGGAGUUGUCAAGUCUGCCCUGUUACCUCUUCCCUGAAGAACUGGCAAAUUAAAACUGCAAUGAAGCAGAAGGCUUGAAAAGUGAAGGGGGCCAAAGAACAGCCAGGCCGUACAGACAGUGUUUUGAGAUAGAACUUUUUAGGGACAUUAGAGAAAGGCAAGUGGCCACAUGCGUUCUGCUACACAAAAUAACUAAGAUGG